rnacentral:rRNA from 1 species
UACGAAGGGUGCAAGCGUUACUCGGAAUUACUGGGCGUAAAGCGUGCGUAGGCGGUUUGUUAAGUCUGUCGUGAAAGCCCUGGGCUCAACCUGGGAAUUGCGAUGGAUACUGGCAAGCAGAGUACGGUAGAGGAUGGUGGAAUUCCCGGUGUAGCGGUGAAAUGCGUAGAGAUCGGGAGGAACACCCGUGGCGAAGGCGGCCAUCUGGACCAGUACUGACGCUGAGGUGCGAAAGCGUGGGGAGCAAACAGG